AUUUUGCAGAAGAAUUGUGGACAGAGUCUUGGAGACUGAAACCAUUUGCCUAAAUCAUGGAGAGCUCUUGAAAUGCUUCUCUGACCCAAGUUUCCACUUUGACUGGAA
rnacentral:lncRNA from 1 species